rnacentral:rRNA from 1 species
UGACAUGAGUAGCGAUAAAGGGGGUGAAAGGCCCCCUCGCCGUAAGCCCAAGGUUUCCUACGCAACGUUCAUCGGCGUAGGGUGAGUCGGCCCCUAAGGCGAGGCAGAGAUGCGUAGCUAAUGGGAAGCAGGUUAAUAUUCCUGCACCGUCGUUAGAUGCGAUGGGGGGACGGAUCGCGAAAGGUUGUCCGGGUGUUGGAAGUCCCGGUCCCUGCAUUGGAGAAGGCACUUAGGCAAAUCCGGGUGCGUAAUUCAAGGGUGUGGGGCGAGCCGCUUUAAGUGGCGAAGCAAUCGGCAGUGGUUCCAAGAAAAGCCUCUAAGCUUCAGUCUAACGAGACCGUACCGCAAACCGACACAGGUGGGCGAGAUGAGUAUUCUAAGGCGCUUGAGAGAACUCGGGAGAAGGAACUCGGCAAAUUGGUACCGUAACUUCGGGAUAAGGUACGCCCCUGUAGCUUGACUGGCCUGCGCCAGAAGGGUGAAGGGGUUGCAAUAAACUGGUGGCUGCGACUGUUUUAAAAACACAGCACUCUGCAAACACGAAAGUGGACGUAUAGGGUGUGACGCCUGCCCGGUGCCGGAAGAUUAAAUGAUGGGGUGCAAGCUCUUGAUUGAAGUCCCGGUAAACGGCGGCCGUAACAAUAACGGUCCUAAGGUAGCGAAGUUCCUUGUCGGGUAAGUUCCGACCUGCACGAAUGGCGUAACGAUGGCCACACUGUCUCCUCCCGAGACUCAGCGAAGUUGAAGUGUUUGUGAUGAUGCAAUCUACCCGCGGCUAGACGGAAAGACCCCAUGAACCUUUACUGUAGCUUUGCAUUGGACUUUGAACCGAUCUGUGUAGGAUAGGUGGGAGGCGCUGAAACCGGAACGCUAGUUUCGGUGGAGCCACCCUUGAAAUACCACCCUGGUUUGUUUGAGGUUCUAACCUAGGUCCGUAAUCCGGAUCGGGGACCGGGCAUGGUAGGCAGUUUGACUGGGGCGGUCUCCUCCCAAAGUGUAACGGAGGAGUACGAAGGUACGCUAGGUACGGUCGGAAAUCGUGCUGAUAGUGCAAUGGCAUAAGCGUGCUUAACUGCGAGACCUACAAGUCGAGCAGGUGCGAAAGCAGGUCAUAGUGAUCCGGUGGUUCUGUAUGGAAGGGCCAUCGCUCAACGGAUAAAAGGUACUCUGGGGAUAACAGGCUGAUACCGCCCAAGAGUUCAUAUCGACGGCGGUGUUUGGCACCUCGAUGUCGGCUCAUCUCAUCCUGGGGCUGUAGCCGGUCCCAAGGGUAUGGCUGUUCGCCAUUUAAAGAGGUACGUGAGCUGGGUUUAAAACGUCGUGAGACAGUUUGGUCCCUAUCUGCCGUGGGCGUUGGAAGUUUGAGAGGACCUGCUCCUAGUACGAGAGGACCGGAGUGGACGAGCCUCUGGUGUACCGGUUGUCACGCCAGUGGCAUCGCCGGGUAGCUAUGUUCGGAAGAGAUAACCGCUGAAAGCAUCUAAGCGGGAAACUCGCCUCAAGAUGAGACUUCCCUGGGAGCUUGACUCCCCUGAAGGGUCGUUCGAGACCAGGACGUUGAUAGGUCAGGUGUAUAAGUG